rnacentral:rRNA from 1 species
AUUGAACGCUGGCGGUAUGCUUAACACAUGCAAGUCGAACGGUAGCAGGCCUUCGGGCGCUGACGAGUGGCGGACGGUGAGUAAACGCGUAGGAAUCUGCCUCAUAGUGGGGGACAACGUGGGGAAACUCACGCUAAUACCGCAUACGCCCUACGGGGGAAAGCGGGGGAUCUUCGGACCUCGCGCUAUGAGAUGAGCCUGCGUUAGAUUAGCUAGUUGGUAGGGUAAAGGCCUACCAAGGCGACGAUCUAUAGCUGGUCUGAGAGGACGAUCAGCCACACUGGGACUGAGACACGGCCCAGACUCCUACGGGAGGCAGCAGUGGGGAAUAUUGGACAAUGGGCGCAAGCCUGAUCCAGCAAUACCGCGUGUGUGAAGAAGGCCUUAGGGCUGUAAAGCACUUUCAAUUGGGUAGGGAAAACCUGUACGGUCAAUACCCGGCAGCUUGACAUUACCUUUAGAAGAAGCACCGGCUAACUACCGUGCC